GGGGGCGUAGCUCAGGGGUGGGGCAUGUGCUUAGCAUGCACGAGGCCCUGGGCUCGAUCCCCAGCAUCUCUG
rnacentral:tRNA from 1 species